rnacentral:snoRNA from 1 species
AUCAUAGAUGAUGAUGGGAUGGUUCACUUUAUCCUAACUGGUCUUGACUAUGAUUACAACCCCUUUACUUCAUCUAUGCUUGCUCGUGUUGGAUCCAUCUCCUUGAGUGAAUUGUACUCUUAGCUUCUUGC